UACGUAGGGACCAAGCGUUGUUCGGAUUUACUGGGCGUAAAGGGCGCGUAGGCGGCGUGACAAGUCACUUGUGAAAUCUCCGGGCUUAACUCGGAACGGCCAAGUGAAACUGUCAUGCUAGAGUGCAGAAGGGGCAAUCGGAAUUCUUGGUGUAGCGGUGAAAUGCGUAGAUAUCAAGAGGAACACCUGAGGUGAAGACGGGUUGCUGGGCUGACACUAACGCUGAUGCGCGAAAGCCAGGGGAGCAAAAGGG
rnacentral:rRNA from 1 species